UUUUUUUUUUUUUUAAGAAAAACCUCAAAUGUUUCUUCUAAGAUGUGGUUAUUCACAUCUUUUCUACCAUCUACAUAUAACGGUUUGCUUCUUCACAGGAAGUCUCUAAUCACCUCUGGGUUACACAGAAAGGAUGAGGCAUACAGCUUGGACCUUCAGCGUGGAAGAGAAAAUCCAUACUGCCUGCCAUAUCCCCCAAAACCAGGUGCCAGCACAACAAGCAGUGCCAGCAGGACCACUGGACAGCAUUUCCUUGCGAUGCUGGAAAGCGUGGGGCAGCUGCACCGCUCUGCUCCAGCCCUGCAUGCCAUGCGUGGCUUGUUCCAGUACUUCUGCAUGUCAAGAGUCAGUGAACAGCACAACUGGGAUGGCACCUUCCGAGUGAAGCUGCAAGUUCAAGUGCUUGGGCACAUGAGAAGAUCUGGCCUCCAGAUACCAAGCUAAUUGCUCUGCAACAACCAACUGGGACAACUCUGUAACUGAUUCCACAUAACCCUGGCAUUUUAUUCUUGCUCAGGAACAAAGAAAGAAAGAGAUUUGCAUUUUCCAGCCAAAGCCUGCAGACUCCAAACAAAGCCUUGUUUUUGCUUUCUGAAAACCUAUUCACAAUUCAACCUAUGUUACAUUAAAAUGAAAACACACUUAAGACAAAAGAAAACCAUUCUUUUCUUCUAAACAAAGUAAGCACUAAAUCUGUAUCACCCGUUCGCUUCCAGCAUAAAUACAUGACAUGUACAGCUGAGAAAAAUAUUCCACCUUUUAAGUGGAUCAGGGAGCAGGGAAGAUAAUUAACAGAUGGAUGGGCUAGUGUAUAUCUGUGCAUAAUAAUCUGUUACUGCUAAGGCUACCAAGUCAGCACUAACUACCCAUAUCUAACAGACUGCCUGCAGAUGCACCAGAACUCCCUGCUGCCUUGCUGAAGGGGAUCUGCUCUGGCUGAGAGGUGCUGUGACACCCGUCACAGAGCUCAGCUCCAACCACCAACCCGAUGACUGCAGGCUCCUCUUGUGGCUAUCCUGGCAUUCAGGGAAGUUCAGCCUCAUCUGUCAGACACAGACACACAGACUAAAAGAGCCUCUCAUCUUGUAUAAACAUUUCUGUGAUUAAUGAAAUCUUCGUGCUCUCUACAAAUCACCAAACGUACAUGUGAAGAAAAACCAUCCCACAGGUUGGGACCCUGUAAAAACCAAGGUGGCUCCCUGCUACAUCACGAGAAAAUGCAGCUGGAACAAGAAAAAGCAGAUGUGACUGGGGCCUUUCACACGCACCUUACUCUCACUCUCACCACGACGCUUCUGGCACCUCACGCUGCAGCCUGGCAGCCAGGAGCGCUGCCCUGCCCUGGAAACCUCUGGCUUCAGGCAGCCACAUGCAGCCUCUCAGGCUUCACUUCACACAGCUUUCGUGCAAAACAGCCUCUGAUCCAGGAUAAAUAUGGUAUGACAGAUGAGUUACACACGUUUGCUCACAUACUAUUUGUUAAAACCUGUGAAUAAGAAGUCAUAGAAGUUAGGACAAUGCUGUUGCAUGCACCUCGCUGUGCAACACGGCUCGGGUUGGUUCUCAGCACCCAACAUUGCACAGGAACAGGAUGCAGAAGCGCUCUUGAGUUUCUCUGUGUCUUGUAGGGGGGAGGCCUAGGCAAUGACUGCCACUCACAACAGCGUAUUUUGGACAAAGGAACACAAAUAUAACUGCUGG